ACAUGUCGUUCCGCAAAGGGGCCGGGAAGACACAAGCUGAGAAGAAUGGUGGCGAAAGGGCGGAGGAAGAAGGUGGAAGGCACCGAUCGUGCCGCUCUAUCAACCGGUUCACCGACCAUAACCUCUCUUGGCGUCCCCUCUCUUGCCGGGCUUUUCGAACGACUCUUGGCUCUUAAAUUUGUGAUUUCAGAGAUUCGGUUGUGAUUGCGGUGAUGGGGAAGCCGAUCUUGGUCACGUUAACUUUCUUGUGGUGAAGUAGGCUUUCGUUUCUGGGUUCUUGGUUUGAGUGGGAGAUGAUUUCAACAAAGAAUGCCGGGUGCCGUGAUAAAGGAUGAUGGAGGAAGCGGAUCUUGAGCGGCCUUGGCCUGAUUGAGUUUCUCGCGAUGUAGCCUUGAAAUGGGAUUUCGAUUCUUGGAUCUUGGUUCUCAUUGAAGAUGAUUCCAGGAAAUGAAUAUUCAUGCUGUGUUUCUUGAUGAUCGGGACGAAGUAUAGAGAGGGCGGAGAGGCUCUUCUUGAUGACGCUGGCGUGGAGAAGUUUCUUUCCUUUGUGAUGAUAUAAAGUGGUGGAGGAUUUGUAGAAAUUUGCAAACAAUUUAUCUCGUAAAGUUGUGAUCCCCAUGAAACGAUUGCGCGGUGCGGAGUUCUUCUCGUGAUCUGUUUUUACGAUCUGAUAGGGGAAGCGGAUCUUGGUCACAUUGGCCUGAUCGAGUGAUUCGUGGUGAGGUCAGGAAGUAGUGUUUUGCUUCUGUGUUGCUGAUUUAUGUCGCAAGUGAGUUCAACGAAGAACGUUUGCAUUCUAUGUUAAAGGAUGAUGUAGGAAGUGGAACUUGGCGACGGAGUCCUGAUUCUUGAUUCUUGGUUUUACUUGAAGAUGAUGAAUCCUCAUUGCUGUGUUGCUAUAAUCGGGCGGAGAGGGUUUUGGUGACAUUGGCCGGAUCGUGUUCUUGGUGGUGAAGUAAAUCGUGGAAGAUUUGUGCAAGAUUUCUUUGUCAAAUAUAACAAGGAUAACCUAAAAGCUUGAAAAAAGAAAUUGUUGAUUGCUCCUUUUUUAUGUUCACCAAGUCAUGUGUUCAGUUAGACGGACUUUUCCUCGUCUGUGUAGAAAAGCGAUUCGGUUUCAAAUGUGGGAAUAUGGUUUUCGACGCAACCUUAGCAGUGACUCGAAGUAACAAAUAGAUUCUGAAUUAAGUGCUGAAGAUAGAGAUAGUCAUUCUAGAAUCUGCAAAGACAAGUAUUGCAUGAGUUCAGACGUAAAACUUGCUACUGUUGCAUCAACUGACAUCGAUAUAGACCCUAAAUUCUUUGCGUUCACGAUGUUACAGUUUGAAGGGUUGCAGAGUGGCUAUCGUAACUCUUUGUAGACGGAGAAUGUUGAGAACUUUAGCAUUCCUCACUGUUGAUGGAAUGAGGUCUUUAUUGUGGACUUUAAGAGGCGGUGGAUAGGCAUACGAUUCUCCACCGUGCUUGUUGUGACUUGUGAUGGGCUCAAAGUUGCUGCACUUGAAGUCGCUGGUGUGCAUUAGCUUGUGUUGUGGGCACAUGUUGAAUCAGAGAUACAUGGAGUUGGAUGAUCUGCUAGAGUAGGUAACAUAACAAUAGGUGUAACUUGCAUAAAUUUAUCAUGUCAACCCAAGGAGCAGUAACUUUUUAUAAUGAAUAUCUUCUAUCAUCUUA